rnacentral:misc_RNA from 1 species
AUAAUGUAUAACAUGAGUAGGUAAGGGAAAUUAAUGAUGUCAUAGGAAGGAUGUGAUUGUUCUUUUUUGUAUAGGAAUUUUCAAUUUUGGUAAUUUUUUUAUGUUUCUUACUAAUCUUUUAUUUUUUUUAAAGUUGAAAGUAGAGUAUUCUGGAAAUAUUUAAGAAUAAUAUAGAGAACUUGAGCAACGUUUACCAAUGACUCAUAUUUUGUUAAGUUAAAAAAAUGGUCUCCUAGAAGUAUUAAUAAUUUUCUUAUCUUUAAGGCUUAUGCAUAGUUGCCCAAGCAUAAAGCUUUUAGGAGUGCCUUGGGGACCUGAAGGGCUCCCCCCCCAUCCCCCUUUCUCUAUCUUCUUUUAAGUUUUACUAUCAAAUAGUACUAUCAAUGUCAAUAAAACAGUUACAAAUGCAUAAAAUAGGUUAAUA